rnacentral:rRNA from 1 species
UACGUAGGCUGCAAGCGUUAUCCGGAAUUAUUGGGCGUAAAGCGUACGCAGGCGGUUUGUUAAGUUGGAUGUCAAAACUAUGAGCUCAACUCAUAGCAGGUAUCCAAUACUGGCAAGCUGGAGAUAGGCAGAGGUAAGUGGAAUUCUGUAUGUAGGGGUAAUAUCCGUAGAUAUACAGAGGAACACCAAAAGCGAAGGCAGCUUACUGGGCCUUUUCUGACGCUCAUGUACGAAAGCGUGGGGAGCAAAC